rnacentral:lncRNA from 1 species
CUGGUGUGAGAGGUGUGCCGUUCUUCUGUGAAGUCUGCACUGGGGGAGUAUGAAAGUCCAGUUGGAAAAGCUGAGCCCUCAGAACACAGAACAUUUGCAGGCACAACACUUACAGAAAAGAUGUAUGUGUAAGGCUUAGAUCUGCAAACAAACCCUUAGAGCUCUACGUCACUGCACUCCCAGAAAGUCUCCGUGUUCCCAUAUUCAGUGUUUGUAUAUUGCACUUUGAAGCCCACUUUGCUAUAUGAGGGGGUGGCGGAGCAAACCCCCCUGGGUCUCAAAUGCAAAAUCAGGGAUUCUUUUGGCCCCAGCCUCCAGCCACAAGGCUCGGAGCCCGCGGGGUGAGCACUGCGAGGAGCCCACAGAGCUUCUUGUGAUUUGUUGCGGGUUGGAGUGGGGGGAGAGGCCUUUUCCAUAAAAGUCUACUUCAGGGUGCAGUGGGAUGGGUGCUGGUGACCACGUGAGGGGUUUUCAUUUGCAGCUGGGAGAAGACAGCACACACUGCCAUAGAAGCCGGGUUACAGAUCCUCUAGCUUAUGCCUUUAUCAACUAUUCGAGUUACCAAUUAUUAGAUUCCACCACGACUUUAUGAAGGCCUGUACCAUGAGCCCUCUGGGCCCUACCUUAGCAAUGACAUUUUGAAAGGUAAAAGAAGAGACAGAGAAUGUGCUUCCUCCCCUCUAGUGUCGGCUCCCACUGGCUGCAAGAAUUUCUGUGGUUUGCAUCUGGGAAGGAGCGAUCGGCAGGAGGGCAGGAUUUGGGCAGCUGCUUGCCCACCCUUCAGCCUCAGAUGGACUUCGAUCCAGGAAUGGCACAGCAUCCAUCCAGGAGGAUAUGGGUCUUUUCCCCAUGGGCUAGUCAACAGUAGGAACUCAGAAAUGUUUGGAGGAUAACCAUGUGCACGAGUAAAUGAAAAGCUGCUUGGGAAGUCACCAGUGCAAACCAGACGCCAUCAUCAUAAUCAGUGGGCAUAAUGGCUGCAUUUCAUGGGCUGAGAUUGGCCAUAAAGAAGACCUCUUAGGGGGAGACAUAUUAAAGUCUGGG